UUUAAAUGCGCAAUAAAUUCAAUGCAUACAUCUAUCUUUCAAUCGUCUGCUUAUUAAUCCUGAUGGCUUUUCUUACCAGCAAAAGAAGCCUCAUUUUCCUCUUUCACCCACCAAUGCAAGAACUUUGUGUCUUCUUGAGUUUCAAACGUGAAGGUAUCCGCCAUGGUUUUACGAGAUCAUUUGUAUAGCCCUUUCUACCUGACGGAUUGUGAAUUCAUCAAAAGUACAUAACCAAAGGGCAAGCUUGAAGAACUGCUGGCUGAACAUGAAGAAAAAUUCAAGGAUAACAAGAAGGUGCAGAAGCAAAGCUGGGAGGGAUGCUCUAAAUGAAGCUACCUAUAUGACAACUCUUGUGCUUUUAUGGAGUUUUGAUGGAACCACACACACAGAGCUAGCCUUUUCUUCAGCCUGCAGUGGUAUGGACUUGAAAGAAUGAUAUGAUUAUGAAACCAUUUGCUUAUGGUUUAAACUCGCUUCUGCUGUUUUUAUAUGGUAAUAAUCUGUUAUGAUAUAGCUAAAAAAUAUGCAACAAGUUUAUUUAAGUAAUCUAAACUCUACAUACGUAUAAAAUAAAAUGGAAAAUGAUGACAGAACCAAGCAAAAAGAGGAUGAAAUCUUACUUACUUUGGGAAAGCUAGUUCAGACUGCUGAUAGGCUUUCUCAGAUUUAAGAAUUUAGAAUAAGCCACUGUCAUAGUAGCCAUAAAAUUACUAUAAGGUCAGAAGGACUUAAAAUGCCCUUUCAAACCUCUAGACAAGUAGAUAUAUAAUAUUUUAGGCAAUAUUAUGGGUUCUCACUAUGCUGAGCAUAAAAAAAAGGUUGAACAUAGUAGAUUGGCAGUUUCAAACAUCAACCAUCUUCACCUCCUCUCUGUCUCUCUUUGCCUGUUUUAUUUUACCAUAACAGUCUUCUUAUGCAUAUAUAUCUGGUUUAGUACUUUUUUUUUCAAUGGUCAUCUCAGAACCGUGUGUCUGACUGGUUUUUUGUUUCAGCCAAAGAAAGAAAAAAACAUUGAUACACAUACAUUCAUAUAAUAUUUGACAAACAAAUUCAAAAAAAAAAAAUAUAUAUAUAUAUAUAUACACAAUAAAUAUCCUUAAGAUUUUCAUGUAACAUACCCCAUAAGCAGAUUCAGCACUUGUUUUCUACUCUGUUUGAUUUACUGACAUCAUUUAAAAGAGUAAAUGAGUGUCAUAAGGUUUAAAGUGCCCAGAAUUUGGUGCACGGUGUUGGGGGUCAUAUUUGUAGCAUCAGUUCCUAUUUGUUAUGCAUAAUUUGGAGAAUAUGAGACCAUCCUGUUUUGAAAGAAUAAAUCAAGAACAGAAUUCCUCAGAUUCAUGGUCCAAGACUCCAAAUGAACUCCUAUUAAUUCCUAGGGUCUUGUCAAUGGCAGGUACUUUGUCACUUCUUUUAGUAGUUUUGGGUUUCACCUGGAAAUGUUCCUUUCCUAGGAUAUGCCUGUCAAAUGUUAUGUGAGUAAGAGCAAUUUUGGAUCUUCCAUGGUAAUAUGGUAGUGUCUCUGGAGGAAGUAAUUACAAAACAAUGAUGUGACCUAUUUGUUUUAUAUAGGGGUGUUCCCAAUCUUUGAAAUGUUUACCCUGCAUCUUUUGGCAGUAUGACUAAGGAGUAUAAAUGGUACUUAAUAUGGAGUAUUUUUCAUAAGAACAAUGCCAAACUUCAUGCAUCUGCAUCUUGAGUUAUCUUCUUAAUGAAUGUGGCUCAUCUCUUCCCUUUCCCCUAGAAGAACAAUUCACAUCGUGGUCCACUAUAUCUGCAAUUCUGCAUAUUAUUGUGAAUUUUUAAAAAUAAAUAAAAUAAACU